GACGAACGCUGGCGGCGCGCCUAAUACAUGCAAGUUGAGCGCUGAAGGUUGGUACUUGUACCAACUGGAUGAGCAGCGAACGGGUGAGUAACGCGUGGGGAAUCUGCCUUUGAGCGGGGGACAACAUUUGGAAACGAAUGCUAAUACCGCAUAAAAACUUUAAACACAAGUUUUAAGUUUGAAAGAUGCAAUUGCAUCACUCAAAGAUGAUCCCGCGUUGUAUUAGCUAGUUGGUGAGGUAAAGGCUCACCAAGGCGAUGAUACAUAGCCGACCUGAGAGGGUGAUCGGCCACAUUGGGACUGAGCCACGGCCCAAACUCCUACGGGAGGCAGCAGUAGGGAAUCUUCGGCAAUGGACGAAAGUCUGACCGAGCAACGCCGCGUGAGUGAAGAAGGUUUUCGGAUCGUAAAACUCUGUUGGUAGAGAAGAACGUUGGUGAGAGUGGAAAGCUCAUCAAGUGACGGUAACUACCCAGAAAGGGACGGCUAACUACGUG
rnacentral:rRNA from 1 species